CCGCCUAUUUAAUCGCCUCGAUCAGGUUGGCAUUCGAUGUCCGAAUGGGGAAACACAUUGUGAUUCGUCACACUAUAGUUAACUGAAUACAUAUGUUAACGAGGCGAACCGGGGGAACUGAAACAUCUAAGUACCCCGAGGAUAAGAAAUCAACCGAGAUUCCCCCAGUAGCGGCUAGCGAACGGGGAGCAGCCCAGAGUCUGAUUGAGCUUGUGUGUUAGUGGAACGGUCUGGAAAGUCCGACG
rnacentral:rRNA from 1 species